rnacentral:tRNA from 1 species
AGCCCUGGGGUGUUACCAUGACGGAUUGCAAAUCCGGAGAAGCAGACUAGCGUCUGCCGGGGCUU